CCUCCUUUUCUUGGCACACGUGUGGUUUUGCGAUGCUCAUGUGUGAUAUGUUUGGAGGAAAAGUGAGCUACAGCGCUAUGUCUUCGGUGCUGGUGUGUUUCAUUGUCCACCAGUUCUAUCCUCAAUCGCUGUGACACGU